UACGUAGGGCGCAAGCGUUGUCCGGAAUUAUUGGGCGUAAAGAGCUCGUAGGCGGCCAGUUGCGUCCGCUGUGAAAUCCUGGGGCUUAACCCCGGGCGUGCAGUGGAUACGGGCUGGCUAGAGGCAGGCAGGGGAGAACGGAAUUCCCGGUGUAGCGGUGAAAUGCGCAGAUAUCGGGAGGAACACCGGUGGCGAAGGCGGGUCUCUGGGCCGAUACUGACGCUGAGGAGCGAAAGCAUGGGUAGCGAACAGG
rnacentral:rRNA from 1 species